rnacentral:rRNA from 1 species
AACACAUGCAAGUCGAGCGGUAGCACAGAGAGCUUGCUCUCGGGUGACGAGCGGCGGACGGGUGAGUAAUGUCUGGGAAACUGCCUGAUGGAGGGGGAUAACUACUGGAAACGGUAGCUAAUACCGCAUAACGUCGCAAGACCAAAGUGGGGGACCUUCGGGCCUCAUGCCAUCAGAUGUGCCCAGAUGGGAUUAGCUAGUAGGUGGGGUAACGGCUCACCUAGGCGACGAUCCCUAGCUGGUCUGAGAGGAUGACCAGCCACACUGGAACUGAGACACGGUCCAGACUCCUACGGGAGGCAGCAGUGGGGAAUAUUGCACAAUGGGCGCAAGCCUGAUGCAGCCAUGCCGCGUGUGUGAAGAAGGCCUUCGGGUUGUAAAGCACUUUCAGCGGGGAGGAAGGCGAUAAGGUUAAUAACCUUGUCGAUUGACGUUACCCGCAGAAGAAGCACCGGCUAACUCCGUGCCAGCAGCCGCGGUAAUACGGAGGGUGCAAGCGUUAAUCGGAAUUACUGGGCGUAAAGCGCACGCAGGCGGUCUGUCAAGUCGGAUGUGAAAUCCCCGGGCUCAACCUGGGAACUGCAUUCGAAACUGGCAGGCUAGAGUCUUGUAGAGGGGGGUAGAAUUCCAGGUGUAGCGGUGAAAUGCGUAGAGAUCUGGAGGAAUACCGGUGGCGAAGGCGGCCCCCUGGACAAAGACUGACGCUCAGGUGCGAAAGCGUGGGGAGCAAACAGGAUUAGAUACCCUGGUAGUCCACGCCGUAAACGAUGUCGAUUUGGAGGUUGUGCCCUUGAGGCGUGGCUUCCGGAGCUAACGCGUUAAAUCGACCGCCUGGGGAGUACGGCCGCAAGGUUAAAACUCAAAUGAAUUGACGGGGGCCCGCACAAGCGGUGGAGCAUGUGGUUUAAUUCGAUGCAACGCGAAGAACCUUACCUGGUCUUGACAUCCACAGAACUUAGCAGAGAUGGUUUGGUGCCUUCGGGAACUGUGAGACAGGUGCUGCAUGGCUGUCGUCAGCUCGUGUUGUGAAAUGUUGGGUUAAGUCCCGCAACGAGCGCAACCCUUAUCCUUUGUUGCCAGCGGUUCGGCCGGGAACUCAAAGGAGACUGCCAGUGAUAAACUGGAGGAAGGUGGGGAUGACGUCAAGUCAUCAUGGCCCUUACGACCAGGGCUACACACGUGCUACAAUGGCAUAUACAAAGAGAAGCGACCUCGCGAGAGCAAGCGGACCUCAUAAAGUAUGUCGUAGUCCGGAUUGGAGUCUGCAACUCGACUCCAUGAAGUCGGAAUCGCUAGUAAUCGUAGAUCAGAAUGCUACGGUGAAUACGUUCCCGGGCCUUGUACACACCGCCCGUCACACCAUGGGAGUGGGUUGCAAAAGAAGUAGGUAGCUUAACCUUCGGGAGGGCGCUACC